AAGACUAUAGACCUGCGGAGUACCUGCGGAAGGAUCAUUACCAAUUUUAUUAUAUUAGUUUGUGCCUCCGUCAAAAGGGGUUACAUAACUACUAUAUAAACGUUGAACUGGAUCGUUGGUGUGGAUUGCUUGGGAAUGGACGAAGCGACAAGCCUCUUCCGGACAGGCAAACCCCACGCCGAUAACCUUUUUUCAUACUAAUUUACAACUAGUACAUACUACAAACAAACAAACAAACAA
rnacentral:misc_RNA from 1 species